GAUGAACGCUGGCGGCGUGCUUAACACAUGCAAGUCGAACGGUGAAGCCCUUUGGGGUGGAUCAGUGGCCAACGGGUGAGUAACACGUGAGCAACCUGCCCCUGGCUCUGGGACAACCACUGGAAACGGUGGCUAAUACCGGAUACGACUCACCUCGGCAUCGAGUGUGGGUGGAAAGUUUUUCGGCUGGGGAUGGGCUCGCGGCCUAUGAGCUUGUUGGUGGGGUAAUGGCCUACCAAGGAGACGACGGGUAGCCGGCCUGAGAGGGCGACCGGACAAACUUGGGCUGAGACUCGGCCCAGACUCCGACUGGAUGCAGCAGUGGGGAAUAUUGCACAAUGGGCGAACGCCUGAUGCAGCGACGCCGCGUGAGGGAUUACGGCCUUCGGGUUGUAAACCUCUUUCAGCUCCGAAGAAGCGAAAGUGACGGUAGGAGCAGAAGAAGCACCGGCUAACUACGUGCCAGCCGCCGCGGUAA
rnacentral:rRNA from 1 species